GACGAACGCUGGCGGCGUGCUUAACACAUGCAAGUCGAACGGAAAGGCCCUGCUUUUGUGGGGUGCUCGAGUGGCGAACGGGUGAGUAACACGUGAGUAACCUGCCCUUGACUUUGGGAUAACUUCAGGAAACUGGGGCUAAUACCGGAUAGGAGCUCCUGCUGCAUGGUGGGGGUUGGAAAGUUUCGGCGGUUGGGGAUGGACUCGCGGCUUAUCAGCUUGUUGGUGGGGUAGUGGCUUACCAAGGCUUUGACGGGUAGCCGGCCUGAGAGGGUGACCGGCCACAUUGGGCCUGAGAUACGGCCCAGUCUCCUACGGGAGGCAGAAGUGGGGAAUAUUGCACAAUGGGCGGAAGCCUGAUGCAGCAACGCCGCGUGCGGGAUGACGGCCUUCGGGUUGUAAACCGCUUUCGCCUGUGACGAAGCGUGAGUGACGGUAAUGGGUAAAGAAGCACCGGCUAACUACGUG
rnacentral:rRNA from 1 species